rnacentral:rRNA from 1 species
AGAGUUUGAUCCUGGCUCAGGAUGAACGCUGGCGGCGUGCUUAACACAUGCAAGUCGAACGGGGGUGCCAUGAACGAAGCAUCAGUUUACUGAUAUGGAGGGAAUGGGACUCUAGUGGCGGACGGGUGAGUAACGCGUGGGUAACCUGCCCCAUACCGGGGGAUAACACUUAGAAAUAGGUGCUAAUACCGCAUAAGCGCAUGGUACUGCAUGGUACAGUGUGAAAAACUCCGGUGGUAUGGGAUGGACCCGCGUCUGAUUAGCUUGUUGGCGGGGUAACGGCCCACCAAGGCGACGAUCAGUAGCCGGCCUGAGAGGGUGGACGGCCACAUUGGGACUGAGACACGGCCCAAACUCCUACGGGAGGCAGCAGUGGGGAAUAUUGCACAAUGGGGGAAACCCUGAUGCAGCGACGCCGCGUGAGUGAAGAAGUAUUUCGGUAUGUAAAGCUUUGUCAGCAGGGAAGAAAAUGACGGUGCCUGACCAAGAAGCCCCGGCUAACUACGUGCCAGCAGCCGCGGU